GAUGAACGCUGGCGGCGUGCUUAACACAUGCAAGUCGAACGAUGAUGCCCAGCUUGCUGGGUGGAUUAGUGGCGAACGGGUGAGUAACACGUGAGUAACCUGCCCUUGACUCUGGGAUAAGCCUGGGAAACUGGGUCUAAUACCGGAUACGACCAUCUGGCGCAUGUCAUGGUGGUGGAAAGCUUUUGUGGUUUUGGAUGGACUCGCGGCCUAUCAGCUUGUUGGUGGGGUAAUGGCCUACCAAGGCGACGACGGGUAGCCGGCCUGAGAGGGUGACCGGCCACACUGGGACUGAGACACGGCCCAGACUCCUACGGGAGGCAGCAGUGGGGAAUAUUGCACAAUGGGCGCAAGCCUGAUGCAGCGACGCCGCGUGAGGGAUGACGGCCUUCGGGUUGUAAACCUCUUUCAGUAGGGAAGAAGCGAAAGUGACGGUACCUGCAGAAGAAGCGCCGGCUAACUAC
rnacentral:rRNA from 1 species